rnacentral:rRNA from 1 species
CGGAGGGUGCAAGCGUUGUCCGGAUUUAUUGGUUUAAAGGGUGCGUAGGUGGCCUUAUAAGUCAGCGGUGAAAGUCUGCAGCUUAACUGUAGAACUGCCAUUGAUACUGUAAGGCUUGAGUACUGAUGAGGUAGGCGGAAUUGAUAGUGUAGCGGUGAAAUGCAUAGAUAUUAUCAAGAACACCGAUUGCGAAGGCAGCUUACUAAGGAGUUACUGACACUGAGGCACGAAAGCGUGGGGAUCAAACAGGAUUAGAUACCCUGGUAGUCCACGCCAUAAACGAUGAUUACUCGAUGUAUGCGAUAGACUGUAUGCGUCCAAGCGAAAGCGUUAAGUAAUCCACCUGGGGAGUACGACCGCAAGGUUG